rnacentral:rRNA from 1 species
UGCCAGCAGCCGCGGUAAUACGGAGGGGACUAGCGUUGUUCGGAAUUACUGGGCGUAAAGCGCGCGUAGGCGGACUAUUAAGUCAGGGGUGAAAUCCCGGGGCUCAACCCCGGAACUGCCUUUGAUACUGGUAGUCUUGAGUUCGAGAGAGGGAGGUAGAAUUUCCGGUGUAGCGGUGAAAUGCGUAGAGAUCGGAAGGAAUACCGGUGGCGAAGGCGGCCUCCUGGACCAAUAUUGACGCUGAGGUGCGAAAGCGUGGGUAGCAAACAGGAUUAGAUA